GCAAUUCGUCUCCACACACAGCUUACGCCCAGCACUGUGUUUGCAGGCCAAGCGGUAAACAGGCAGCUGAGCAGCGUUUUCAACCUAGAGGACAACAGGGGAGCUGAGCGCAAGCUACAAGCAUUGGACAACUCUCAGUUCUGCUCAACUUUAUCAUCUCUUGGACUCUCUCUUGGACUUCUUCAGCGCAGUGGCUGGCAACUGUGUAUAUCCGCUCCCUGAAUCAUCCACUAAUAUCUGCCUGAAAUAGUGAAAAGGCUUGCAGUUUUCAGUAGGCGGGAGAGGUUGAAUUGGCCAGACCAUCCAUGUGAUUUAGAAGUCUUUGCCCAAUUUCCAGAAAGGACUCCAGCAUGGUGAAAUCGAAGCCCUGUCAAUCUCGGUGAGGAAAUCGAUUUGGCUUAAAGCUCCCCAAAAAGGCCUGGGUGAUCCUGUCACUGAAAUACAGAAUUUCUUUGUCUAAUGGGUAGAGCAUGAGGUUGGGAGCCAGAAAGUGCCAGCUUCUGGAUUGUUUCCACAAAUGUUCAUGGAUAUGGAUUCCUUCAGGGAACCUCUCAAUUUUGUCAUGAAGUGUGACCUCCACCAUCGCAUUGUUGCACCUCCAGCUUAAAAGUAUUUUGA